rnacentral:rRNA from 1 species
GACGAACGCUGGCGGCGUGCUUAACACAUGCAAGUCGAACGGACAGGCCCUGCUUUUGUUGGUUGCUCGAUUGGCGAACGGGUGAGUAACACGUGAGUAACCUGCCCUUGACUUUGGGAUAACUUCAGGAAACUGGGGCUCAUACCGGAUAUGAUCUCCUGCUGCAUGGUGGUGGUUGGAAAGUUUCGGCGGUUGGGGAUGGACUCGCGGCUUAUCAGCUUGUUGGUGGGGUAGUGGCUUUCCAAGGCUUUGACGGGUAGCCGGCCUGAGAGGGUGACCGGGCACAAUGGGACUGAGAUAGGGCGCAGACUCGUACGGGAGGCAGCAGGGGGGAAUAUUGCAGAGUGGGCGGAAGCGUGAUGCAGCAACGCCGCGUGCGGGAUGACGGCCUACGGGUUGUAAACCGCUUUCGCCUGUGACGAAGCGUGAGUGACGGUAAUGGGUAAAGAAGCAACGGCUAACUACGUG